AACAGGAUUAGAUACCCUGGUAGUCCACGCCGUAAACGAUGUCGACUUGGAGGUUGUGCCCUUGAGGCGUGGCUUCCGGAGCUAACGCGUUAAGUCGACCGCCUGGGGAGUACGGCCGCAAGGUUAAAACUCAAAUGAAUUGACGGGGGCCCGCACAAGCGGUGGAGCAUGUGGUUUAAUUCGAUGCAACGCGAAGAACCUUACCUACUCCUGACAUCCAGAGAACUUAGCAGAGAUGCUUUGGUGCCUUCGGGAACUCUGAGACAGGUGCUGCAUGGCUGUCGUCAGCUCGUGUUGUGAAAUGUUGGGUUAAGUCCCGCGACGAGCGCAACCCUUACCCUUUGUUGCCAGCGGUUCGGCCGGGAACUCAAAGGAGACUGCCAGUGAUAAACUGGAGGAAGGUGGGGAUGACGUCAAGUCAUCAUGGCCCUUACGAGUAGGGCUACACACGUGCUACAAUGGCAUAUACAAAGAGAAGCGACCUCGCGAGAGCAAGCGGACCUCAUAAAGUAUGUCGUAGUCCGGAUUGGAGUCUGCAACUCGACUCCAUGAAGUCGGAAUCGCUAGUAAUCGUGGAUCAGAAUGCCACGGUGAAUACGUUCCCGGGCCUUGUACACACCGCCCGUCACACCAUGGGAGUGGGUUGCAAAAGAAGUAGGUAGCUUAACCUUCGGGAGGGCGCUUACCACUUUGUGAUUCAUGGCUGGGGUGAAGUCGUAACAAGGUAACC
rnacentral:rRNA from 1 species